rnacentral:rRNA from 1 species
UACGUAGGGUGCGAGCGUUGUCCGGAAUUAUUGGGCGUAAAGGGCUCGUAGGCGGUCCAUCGCGUCGGGAGUGAAAAGCUGGGGCUUAACCCCAGUCCUGCUUUCGAUACGGGUGGACUAGAGGUAGGCAGGGGAGAAUGGAAUUCCUGGUGUAGCGGUGAAAUGCGCAGAUAUCAGGAGGAACACCGGUGGCGAAGGCGGCUCGCUGGGCCAGUUCUGACACUCAUCCGCGAAAGCGUGGGGAGCAAACAGG